GACGAACGCUGGCGGCGUGCUUAACACAUGCAAGUCGAACGAUGAAGCGGGUGCUUGCACUCGUGGAUUAGUGGCGCACGGGCGUGUAACACGUGAGUAACCCGUCCUUUUCUUUGGGAUAACUGCUGGAAACGGCUGCUAAUACUGGAUAUUCAUGCUGCAUCGCCUGGUGUGGUUUGGAAAGGUUUUUUCUGGGAUUGGGUAGGCUCGCGGCCUAUCUGCUUGUUGGUGGGGUGAUGGCUUAAGAAGGCUUUGACGGGAAGCCGGCAUGGGAGGGUGGUCGGUGACAGUGGGACGGAAAUACGGCCCAGAGUCCUACGCGAGGCAGCAGUGGGGAAUAUGGGUCAAGGGACGAAAGUUAGAGGCCGCGAGGCUGAGUGGAGGGUGUAGGCCGUCGGGUUGUGAACUCCGGUAUGUCGAGAAAAAGGAACAGUUUUGGCUGUGUUGAUGGUACUGGGGGAAGAAGCGACGGCUAACUACGUG
rnacentral:rRNA from 1 species